AGAGUUUGAUCAUGGCUCAGAUUGAACGCUGGCGGCAGGCUUAACACAUGCAAGUCGAACGGAGUAUAGAGCUUGCUCUAUAUUUAGUGGCGAACGGGUGAGUAAUGCCUAGGAAUCUGCCCAUUAGCGGGGGAUAACGUGUGGAAACGCACGCUAAUACCGCAUACGCCCUACGGGGGAAAGCAGGGGAUCUUCGGACCUUGCACUAAUGGAUGAGCCUAGGUCGGAUUAGCUAGUUGGUAGGGUAAAGGCCUACCAAGGCUACGAUCUGUAGCGGGUCUGAGAGGAUGAUCCGCCACACUGGAACUGAGACACGGUCCAGACUCCUACGGGAGGCAGCAGUGGGGAAUAUUGGACAAUGGGGGAAACCCUGAUCCAGCCAUGCCGCGUGUGUGAAGAAGGCCUUUUGGUUGUAAAGCACUUUAAGCGAGGAGGAGGGCACUUUGGCUAAUACCCGAAUGUGUCGGACGUUACUCGCAGAAUAAGCACCGGCUAACUCUGUGCCAGCAGCCGCGGUAAUACAGAGGGUGCGAGCGUUAAUCGGAAUUACUGGGCGUAAAGCGCGCGUAGGCGGUUAUGUAAGUUGGAUGUGAAAUCCCCGGGCUUAACCUGGGCACUGCAUUCAAAACUGCAUAGCUAGAGUAUGGGAGGGGAAGGUAGAAUUCCAGGUGUAGCGGUGAAAUGCGUAGAGAUCUGGAGGAAUACCGAUGGCGAAGGCAGCCUUCUGGCCUAAUACUGACGCUGAGGUGCGAAAGCAUGGGGAGCAAACAGGAUUAGAUACCCUGGUAGUCCAUGCCGUAAACGAUGUCAACUAGCCGUUGGGGACCUUGAGUCCUUAGUGGCGCAGCUAACGCGAUAAGUUGACCGCCUGGGGAGUACGGUCGCAAGACUAAAACUCAAAUGAAUUGACGG
rnacentral:rRNA from 1 species